GACGAACGCUGGCGGCGUGCUUAACACAUGCAAGUCGAACGGAAAGGCCUGCUUUCCCUUGUGUAUUGCGGGUGCUCGAGUGGCGAACGGGUGAGUAACACGUGAGUGAUCUGCCCCCAACUUGGGUAUAAGCCUGGGAAACUGGGUCUAAUUCCCGAUAGGACUGCAGGGGGGUUCCUGUGGUGGAAAACGAUUUUCUAGUGAUUGGGGAUGAGCUCGCGGCCUAUCAGCUUGUUGGUGGGGUAAGGGCCUACCAAGGCGGCGACGGGUAGCCGGCCUGGGAGGGUGUCCGCCCCCAUUGGGCUUGAGCAACGGCCAAGCUCCUUACGGGAGGCAGAAGUGGGGAAAAUUGCCAAAGGGGGGGAAGCCUGAUGCAGCGAGGCGGGGUGGGGGAUGCCGGCCUUUGGGUUGUAAACUCCUUUUGUCCGCGAGGAAGCUUACUGGUUGGAAGGGUGGUGACGGUAGUGGUAGAAGAAGCACCGGCUAAGUCCGUG
rnacentral:rRNA from 1 species